GCGCUCGGAUGUUUAAAGCAGGCUGAGGUUACCUAGCAGCGAAAUACAAUCCACGCUUACCUGUAACAUACAGUCAGUUAGAAACAACGCCAACCUCGAGACUUGAUUCGUUAGGUGCGUUUGUUACAUAUAUUUUCUUUAGUCGAAAGAUGUCAAGCAACUACGGACGUAAUCCUCCUCCUUUCCCUGAUAAUGAAGAGCAGGAGGCUGAAUCGGACGCUCGAGUGCUGGACAGCGACGAGGAAGAGGAGGAGGAUGAAGGCGAGGAUAUAUUCACCGGCGCCAGUGUGAGACACCUGCUUCAGACUGCAUAGCAAGUUUGCAUCUGAUCGAGUCAUAUAUCUGUGGGGAAACGUUCAAGUGACAUUUGACAGAAGCUAGCAGAUAGCUUAUAGUCAAUGUCUGCAGCAGUUAGUCUCAUAAUGCAACUCAGGAACUGCACGAACUGCAAUUAUCAUGUCAUGGUUAAUUAACACUGGAAGUGAAUGAGGAGAUACCCCCUGACAACGUAAAGCGCUUUGAGAGCUUAGAAAAGCGCUAUAUAAAUAGGCCACUGUAGAACUGACGCUUACCAACACCACUAGUCAAGGCAGGACAGAGAUUAUCAUCCUGAUCACAUCAGCCUUAUAACACCACACAUCUUCCUACGUAAUUCAAUACUGAAACCCAGCAUUGUCACCAAGAUCAUGGAGAAGUCUCAGGAGGAAGAGAGUGGAGACCAGUUUGAGCUGAACAUCGCAGUCACUAAUCCAGAGAAAAUUAGGUUGUAUUAUGCAACUUAUUUUUCAACGUGAAAGUAAGCAAAUAAGUGAAUAACAAAUUGAUGUAAACUCUAAAAUGAUUUGAGAACUGUAAAAUGGUUGAGAACCACUGGUUCUAGAUGUCCUGGAUGCUGAGAGCUACAUUGAGUUCUUCUUCGUUAUUGUGUUUCAGGAGAUGGCUUGAAUGCCUACAUGUCUUACAAAGUGUCGACUCAGACUACACUGGUCAUGUUCCCUUAUGUUCUCAGUGCGUCAAUGUUUCAGUGAUUUUCUGGGACUUUAUGAGAAGAUAUCAGCCAAAGUCACUCCCUGCUGGGUUGCAUCAUUCCACCUCCACCUCAGAAGAGUGUAGUGGGUAAAAAAGUUCUCAUGCUCACUCUGGCUCCAUGUCUAGUGGAGUUAUUCUAGUGAGCUCAUCUAUACCCCUGUUCCACCGAGGCAGUUUGAGUGCUGGAUCGGAGCCAGAGCCUAGUUUCAGAUCGGUUCUUUGUCUUUUGACAACCAAAGCACCAUCUCCGAACUAGGAAAAGUGGUUAGUAAGUAGCAUUAAAACAUUCCUGGGCUAGAAGUAAGUACCACUUGAGUCAGGGGCUGGGGCGGGGUUACUGUGACCAACAAGAUGCCAUUUUUGAAAUAGCAUCUAAACAUGAAAACUUUAAAUUUGCUGUGUUGGAUGCCGAUGUAGGUUUGCAAAGCCAUGCACAUCAAUAGCAAUGCAAUUAAUGCAAAUGCACCAGGUUCAUACUGGUGGAAAGGGGGUACUAGACAUUCACAGUGGCCUGGAUACAUGAGAAUGUUUUCUUUGAGCUUUCUGUUGGCUCUUACUUUUUUGCUGACUGAGUUUGUGGUUUGUGUUGUGUCACAGGGAUGACUAAAGUGAAGGUGGUGAAGGAGGAUUCAUCCUCAGCAGAGUUUGUGGAAAAGAGACGAGCAGCACUGGAGAGGUCCCCAACCCGGCAUCGACACUGCAAUCAAUCCCGGGAUGUGUUUGCAUUCAUACAGAAGGCACCCUGGCAAUUUCCAGUGUGAAAGGGGAUAUAGACAGCCACGGGGACUAAAGACAGUAAAUAUGGACAAAUACAGACAACAGUGUCAGAAGUUGCCCGGGGCGGUAAAUACUCUUUUAGUGGACCUGGCCUCCUAAAGAUGAUAAACAGAGCAUCAGAUGCAGUGAAUAAGAUGAGCGUUAAAAUGAAUGAAUCAGAUAAUUGGUUUGAGAGUAAGCUGCAGGAGGUGGAGAAUGAGGAGCAGCUGCUGAGGAAGCUGCAUGCUGCUGUUGACUCAUUUGUAAACCACAGGAAAGAGUUGUGUAGUAACACAGCGGUGUUUAACAAGAGUUUGGCCAUCCUGGGCAGUGUGGAGGAGAACUCUGCGUUAUCUCAUGCGCUGUCACAGCUGGCAGAAGUGGAAGAUAAAAUGGAGCAGCUGCAUCAGCAACAGACCUUCAGUGAUUUCUUCAUCCUUGCUGAGCUCUUGGCCUACUACGUCAGGCUGCUGGCGGCCGUGAGGUGCUGUUCUGAGCAGAGAAUGAAAGUGUGUCAGCAUCUACAGGAAGCUCAGAGCACAUUGCAGAAGAAACGAGAGGCCGAGGCCAAGCUGCUCUGGGAAAAUAAAUCCGAGAAGCUGCAGCAGGCUAAAGACAACAUAAAUGAGGUUAAAUUGUUGAAAAUUGGUAAAAUGUUGAAUGAUAAUAUGAAUGGUGUCUCUGCACAGUGGGAGUCUAAAGUCAGUCAGUAUGAGAGAGAUUUCGAAAGAGUCACCUGUACUGUGCGUAAAGAAGUGCUCAGAUUUGAGGUAAGAUGUGUCAGUCACAUGUUCAUCAUGAUGAUGAAUUUUAUAAUAGAAAAAUGUCCUGUUUAUUAUUUCUCCAUUUAAAUAUCCUAUAUAAUAAUAGGUACACUGAUGUGCUAUGGUUCUAGUGGUUUAAAUUGUUUCAAAUGAUGGGCACAACCUCUUUUUUACAUAGGGCAAACAUUUUACUAUUUGGUCAACUGCUAUAAUGAUCAGUUAUGCAAGUCCUAAUUUAUAUGAAUAAUACAUCAAUUUUGUUGCAUACCUGUUGCUGACAUAAUAGUGGCCUAUUUCAAAAGCUUAUGCAAUUGUGUUCUCUUUAUUUUUUCUGUUUCUCUUUAACAGCUCCCACUCAUUAUAGUUGUAAUUCCUGUAUUAUUCUUGACAAAAUAUUUCAGUAUUCCAAUAUAAAAUGAAGCAAAGCACAACAGUUACAAGAUGGUGCUUGGUGGGAUUUUACAAAAUAACUGUUGGAUUGCUCCCUUUUCCUAAACUCGAGACAGGUGGAUUGGGAUUGCAGUUAAAGGUGCUGUAUGUAGGAUUGACAGAGUGGUUGAACUAGGUAUUAAAGUCCAAAUUCAAAACAUUGGAGGUUAAUAUUAAUUAAAAUAUUCUCACUUGAUGCACACGCAGGUUGCCAGAUUGCUUCCAUGACUGAAAUUAAAUAUGCUGUGUUUCCUUCUAACUGGCAACCCAGAGUGCCGAAAUACAAUUGGAUAAACUGGAAGUGGGCGGAUUUUACUAACCAAAACAGAGACCGACAUUCUGUAACACACAUUUUCAAAGGAGAAUUACUGACUGUAGCAUUGUUUUUCAGAUAGACAAGUAUGUUAACUUAGCAUGUUUCUUAAUUAUCUGCAAACAUAUUAUGGUAUUUUUAUGCUUUAUUAGAGUCAAAAGUGUACAUACAGCACCUUUAAAUUACCUCACAACCACGGUUUGUCAAAAAAAACUGUAGGUAAUUCGGCCAGGAAUUUCCACAGGGAUAAUGGAAAGAAAAGCAGUCGUUCUGGAUAUGGAAGGCAAUAAAAUCACCAACUUGCCCCUGUAAAUGUUAAACAAUUACCCUAACCCUUUUGCACGACAGUUUAAAAUACUUUUAGCUGAGCCCCUGGCGUGAGUUUUUUUUAGGUGACCGUUAUUUUAGAAUGUACCGCCUUAUUGUUUUCUUUUCAAACAGCACAUAGUGAAAUACCUGGAGUCCCUGCUUCACACACAGACUAGACUGGUGAAGUGUUGGGAGGACUUCCUGCCUGAGGCCAAAGCCAUCGCCUGAUCAGAGCCUUACCUCACACGCUCCUAACCUUUGACCUUGACAACAGACAAUCAGUAUUUCAAUUUUCCUAUUUCCUUUGCUCUCCAUGUGUGAAAUAACAUGUACAUCUUAAUAUUUGUUCAUUGAUAAGCUGAUCCCCAGAUUGUGAUGGUAAACCUGUGCAGUGACCUGGAUCACUGUUGACAACUGAAUGUUGAGUGUAAAGGUUAAAGACCAGAGUGGGAUUAAAAAAAAUGGCCGGUGUCUUUGAAUGAAGUCCCAUGUGUUGUAUUGAAAAUUUUGACUGAAUGUUUAUGUUCUCAAACAGUUGCACUGAUCUGGACAAGUCCAUAUAAUAGUCUUCUUGCAGUAUAGGUGUACAAACAUUUCUAUAAAAAAUUCUAGAUUAAUUAUUGUACUUAAAACAUACAUUAAUAACAAAAAAGAUGGUUAAUUGAUUUUAAGAGAAUGUUUAAAAAACAAUCUUUAACAUGUAUGCAGCGCUGGUUAUUCAU